CCCUAGGUGGGGCCUGACAUGUUCCAAAGUUAGACAAACAGAAGGAGCAUUUGAUGGUGAAACAUAAGGAAGAACAGGGAUUCCUUGGGCACAGAAAUGUGCAGGAGGGAGAAAUCUUGGCUGCCGGCUUCUUUAAAGUGUUUCACAGAUGAAGGGAAUAUCAAGGACAGACUUAAAAGAGGGAAGAAGACUAUUAUUUGAAGCCAGGUGAAGCCUUGAUGACUGUGGUUUGAAUUCAUUGGGAAAAGUGGAAUCGUCAAGAGACCCGAG